UUGCCAGGUCACAGCCUGAACCAAUGGUUGAGCAUGAGACCACGCUGCUAAACAGCCAGGGGAGGCUCAUGCUUCCCUAAUAUCCAUCACUCUCUGCUUCCAGCGUGGUCACAGACAGAGCAACAAAGAGGGUCUCAGAGUUUAGGGUUUGGGGUUUAUUUGGUGUUGGACUACUGUUGAUUUUCUGUGGCUUCUACUAAGGAAAUGGAGUGUUCUCACUUUAGAAAGGUUUAUUUGUGGUAUGCACACAGACAACAGUAGCAAAACAUCUAACAGUAAGAACCCAACAAAUCUACCACAGCAGUUUAUAGGGGCUGGAAGCAAAGCUCCCUGAAGUCAGGAGGAGACAUUCCAGUGACUUCAAAUGGCUUUGGAUCAGGCCUGUCACGUGAGAUUAGCUCCUGACAGAGGAUGCUAUGAGCACAGGAGCAGAACAGAACGAUUUAGGGAUGGAAUUUCACUUAUGCCCUAAUCAUCUUUGCUUUGUGAAUCUGUUAGACACAAUCUUUUGAAGCAAUAUUACAUUGAUUUUUGUAUUAAAAAUGUCUGUAUUGCUUUUUGUGUUGUGAAUAUAUGGUUUUACAGAAAUAGCCUUCUAACUUAGGUUUUACAACUACGGUCUAUUUAUGUUUCUAUUUCUUGGCUUCUGUUAAAGGAUUCUUUUUGGAUAUGAGCGUUCAGAAUCUCUUAGGCGAGUUUUUAAUCUUAAUAAUGCUGUGAAUGAUAUACACAAAGUUAAGGAAAGUAUUUUCUAGUGUCAAACAGCAAGUUAAAAACAACUGUUUGAAUUCUGCUUUUCUUGUUCAUGUGUUCUGUACAAGAAGCUAAUGGCUUCCAAAGUUUCUCUUUUAAAAAUAAAAUAAAAUAAAUCACCUAUUCACUCCCACGAAAAAAGCAGAGGAGAUUGCUCCAUAAUUUGUGAAAAAUUGUAGUCAGUUCAACAUGUGCAUUUGAUUUGCAUUUUGAAAUUCAUGUAUCUUACACAUAUUGAAAGUAACCAUGAGAAAGCCCAUGCAGUUUUGUAGAACUAAUAAAAAUGGAAGCAUUUUACAGCACUUCUUUGGUAAGGCCAAAUUUGACUAGGAAGUUGUAAACUUUCAAAGGCGAUUUGUGUUCAUAAAUGAAAGCCUAUCAGACUCGUAAACACUCUAGUGAUGCUGGACAUCAUUAUCUUCAGGGAAAAAUUGCCUUUGGUUCUUAUUGAUUGUGGCUUUUCUAAUGAAUACCAAGUCUGUGUGGUGAAUGAUAAGUGAUGUGUCUGUCACUCCUUCCUCACCCUCAUACAAAAUAAGGCAUUUACUCUCAGCUGGGAUCAGGCACAACCUUGGGUUUGUUUUGUGUGGAUAAAAGGCACCACAAAGGGGAAACAAGGUGGCUGGUGUAACUAUCAGCCACCACCAUGUGCAUGCAAACAUCCCUACUUACACAGACAUGAUUGCAUCCGUAUAUUACACACAUACACAGGGUAAGCACCACAUCUUUUACUUGAACUGAAAAAACUUUGCCUUUUUGCAUUUAGACUGUGAUUAGUUAUUCAGUCAUCUGCAAGUCUAACUCAUCCAAACUUCUCUUAGACUCUGGAAGAGGCUGUUCUUAUUUGUGAAUUAGAUUUAAAUAUGUCAUUUAUGCUUAUGUUGCAUAGGUUUGUAGCAUAGUUACAUGUAAGGAUUGCAAAGACUUGAUUUUUCAGUUUGCUUUAACUUGCCUUUAUCCAUCUGUUGCCUUUCAUGCUUAAAUAUUUACAUGAGGAAUAAAGGAAAUCUUAGCUCUAUACAGCCAGUGGUAUAUUUCUGAGGAAACAGAAAAGGAGAAUUGCUGUUUAUGCGUGGUAUAGCUUAGAAAAAAUGCUGUAAGACAAAUAUUGAAUGUCAUAUGAAGAAAACAUUUUUUUUUUCCUAGCUAAACAGCAUAACAGUGCUUAAUGUAGUAAAAUCUGUAAUGUUGGAGGCAUAUCUUGAGUAAAUUUGCCUUAAAUAGAAAUGAUGAAGUGUAUUUACACUGCAGUCAUAAAAAAAAAAAAUAAACAGUACCGACAAGGAAUUAUCAUCAAAGACAUUUUUAUAGGUUUGGGAAUUCACCCUGAUGCUUUGCUUAUUGUUUUCUUUUUUUUUUUUUUUUUUUGGUAUUAAUCCUUUCUGUAUUGCUGUGUGUGACUGCCUGCCAAAUGUGUCCUUAUAUACGUAGCUGUCUUCAUUUUGAGUUUUAUGGUAGGAAAAUGUGGAUCUAUGUCUUCUGCUGUUUGUGAAUAGGAAAAAAUGCAUAGGAUUUUAU